CCUACGGGUGGCAGCAGUGGGGAAUAUUGGACAAUGGGCGAAAGCCUGAUCCAGCCAUGCCGCGUGUGUGAAGAAGGCCUUCGGGUUGUAAAGCACUUUCAGUGGGGAAGAAAGCCUUGGGGCUAAUACCCUCGAGGAAGGACAUCACCCACAGAAGAAGCACCGGCUAACUCCGUGCCAGCAGCCGCGGUAAUACGGAGGGUGCGAGCGUUAAUCGGAAUUACUGGGCGUAAAGCGCGCAGGCGGUCUGAUAAGCCGGUUGCGAAAGCCCCGGGCUCAACCUGGGAACGGCAUCCGGAACUGUCAGGCUAGAGUGCAGGAGAGGAAGGUAGAAUUCCCGGUGUAGCGGUGAAAUGCGUAGAGAUCGGGAGGAAUACCAGUGGCGAAGGCGGCCUUCUGGACUGACACUGACGCUGAGGUGCGAAAGCGUGGGUAGCAAACAGGAUUAGAUACCCCUGUAGUC
rnacentral:rRNA from 1 species